rnacentral:tRNA from 1 species
ACUAUUUUGGCAGAUUUAAGUGCGAUAAAUUUAGAAUUUAUAAAUGUAACUUUUGUUACAGAUAGUA